rnacentral:misc_RNA from 1 species
UACAACAUGAGAUUUAGAGAUGAGAAGAUAAGUGCAAAGCCAGCAAUCGGAAUUGAUCUAGGAACGACUUACUCCUGUGUGGGAAUUUGGCAACAUGAUCACGUUGAGAUCAUAGCUAAUGACCAGGGUAAUAGAACAACACCAUCUUUUGUCGCAUUCACUAAUACUGAACGUUUGAUAGGAGACGCUGCUAAGAAUCAGGUUUCUAAGAAUCCAACAAACACUGUUUUUGAUGCUAAGAGAUUGAUUGGAAGGCGAUACAGCGAUGCAUCGGUGCAAAGGGACAUGAAACUAUGGCCUUUUUAAGGUCAUUGCUGGCCUUGGUGACAGACCCAUGAUUAUUGUGACAUACAAGGGUGAAGAGAAGCAAUUCACCUCUGAGGAAAUCUCUUCAAUGGUCCUCAUGAAAAUGCGAGAGAUUGCUGAGUCAUACCUUGAAACCACUAUAAAGAAUGCUGUUGUUACUGUUCCUGCU